GACGAACGCUGGCGGCGUGCUUAACACAUGCAAGUCGAGCGGUAAGGCCCUUUCGGGGGUACACGAGCGGCGAACGGGUGAGUAACACGUGGGUGACCUGCCCUCAGCUCUGGGAUAAGCCUGGGAAACCGGGUCUAAUACUGGAUAUGACUCCAUGACGCAUGUUGUGGGGUGGAAAGCCUUGUGCGGCUGAGGAUGGGCCCGCGGCCUAUCAGCUUGUUGGUGGGGUGAGGCCUACCAAGGCGACGACGGUAGCCGGCCUGAGAGGGCGACCGGCCACACUGGGACUGAGACACGGGCCCAGACUCCUACGGGAGGCAGCAGUGGGGAAUCUUGCGCAAUGGGCGAAAGCCUGACGCAGCGACGCCGCGUGAGGG
rnacentral:rRNA from 1 species